CCUACGGGAGGCAGCAGUGGGGAAUAUUGCACAAUGGGGGAAACCCUGAUGCAGCGACGCCGCGUGAGUGAGGAAGUAUUUCGGUAUGUAAAGCCCUAUCAGCAGGGAAGAAGAAAGACGGUACCUGCCUAAGAAGCCCCUGCUAACUACGUGCCCGCAGCCGCGGUACUACGUAGGGGGCACGCGUUAACCGGAUUUACUGGGUGUAAAGGGAGCGUAGACGGCUGUGCAAGUCUGAAGUGAAAGCCCAGGGCGCAACCCUGGGACUGCUUGGGAGACUGGGGAGCUAGAGUGCUAGAGAGGUAAGUGGAAUGCGUAGUGUAGCGGUGAAAUGCGUAGAUAUUAGGAAGAACACCAGUGGCGAAGGCAGCUUACGGGACAGUAACUGACGGUGAGGCUCGAAAGCGUGGGUAGCAAACAGGAUUAGAUACCCCAGUAGUC
rnacentral:rRNA from 1 species